rnacentral:misc_RNA from 1 species
UUCUGUUAGGUUCUUAGUAGCAGUCGGCGACCUUUUCUUCUUUUACUUCACAUAGCUUUUCGUCUCCUUGAUAGCUGGAAGUUCUCCAAAAGUAUGAAAAGCUGGAGGACUUUGUACCAUCCAUUCCAGUGUGGUUGAAUUCUGUUCAACAGCCCAAGGACUUGGAGCACAUCUUUUGUUAUUUCCACUGCUUAAAGUGAUUGUUACGACCACGAAGAAACAACAAAUCCCAACUACAGAUAUAUAAGAGCCAAAACUGCUAAGGGCAUUCCAUCCAGCGUAAGCAUCUGGAUAAUCUGGAAUGCGACGUGGCAUACCCGAAAGCCCUAAGAAAUGCAUAGGAAAGAAGGUCAGAUUAACCCCGAAAAAAGUGAUCCAAAAAUGGAUUUGACCUAAAGUUUCAGGGUAUGUCCGACCAAAGAUUUUACCCACCCAAUAGUAAAAUCCUGCAAAUAAAGCAAAAACGGCUCCCAUAGAAAGUACAUAAUGGAAAUGUGCAACCACAUAAUAAGUAUCAUGUAGAGCAAUGUCUAGCCCAGAAUUUGCCAGGACUAUUCCAGUGAGUCCUCCUAUGGUGAACAAAAAGAUGAACCCUACAGCAAAUAACAUGGGUGUUUUGUAUUGUAUCGAACCCCCCCACAUGGUAGCGAUCCAACUAAAGAUUUUGAUUCCAGUGGGGACAGCUAUGAUCAUGGUAGCUGCGGUGAAGUAGGCACGGGUAUCAACGUCUAAGCCCACAGUAAACAUAUGAUGAGCCCAAACAAGAAAUCCAAGAACACCUAUACUGAUCAUGGCAUAAACCAUGCCUAGAUACCCGAAAACCGGUUUUCCCGAAAAAGUCGAAACGAUAUGACUUAUGAUACCGAAUCCCGGCAGAAUUAGAAUGUAAACUUCAGGGUGACCGAAGAACCAAAAGAGAUGCUGGUAUAAUAUGGGGUCUCCCCCUCCAGCGGGAUCAAAAAAGGUUGUAUUAAAGUUUCGAUCGGUUAAUAACAUGGUAAUUGCCCCUGCCAGUACCGGAAGUGAUAAUAAAAGUAGGAAUGCUGUCACUAGAACGGACCACACAAAUAGGGGUAAUCUAUGCAUAGUCAUUCCAGGUCCACGCAUGUUGAAGAUAGUUGUUAUAAAAUUGAUAGAACCUAAAAUGGAUGAAACACCAGAUAGAUGAAGACUAAAAAUUGCUAAAUCAACUGCUCCUCCAGAAUGGCUGGUAAUACCACUUAAGGGCGGAUAGACCGUCCACCCAGUGCCGCUGCCCACUUCCACUAAGGCUGAGCUUAAUAGGAGUAAGAGACUUGGUGGCAACAACCAGAAUGAAAUAUUAUUUAAUCGUGGAAAUGCCAUGUCAGGUGCACCUAUCAGAAUCGGAACAAACCAAUUACCAAAUCCACCUAUCAUCGCCGGCAUAACCAUAAAAAAGAUCAUUAAAAAAGCGUGAGCCGUUAUUAAAACAUUAUAAAGUUGAUGAUUCCCACCAAGAAUUUGAUCGCCCGGUCGUGCUAAUUCCAUACGAAUCAGUACUGAGAAGCAUGUGCCCAUCACUCCAGCAAUGGCACCGAAGAUGAAAUAUAAAGUCCCUAUAUCCUUGUGGUUAGUGGAGAACAGCCAUCGAACCAGAUUUGUCAUAGAAAUUGAAUAUUAUUUUCUUUCGGUUCUGCUUUCUUGCUCUAAAAAUUUCUUGUUCUAAAAAUGAAGAAAGACUUGUCGGAAAUCACCGGUUGGGUUAGGCCAACCAAGAAAGAAAUGGGAUUUUUGGGCGUAACAUUCUUUUGCUUUUGGAACUUCUGUCCCAUACGCACCAACUCCUUUCUCUCGGAUGUAGCCACAAACAAGAUAUAGAAAGAAAUAACAAUGAUAAGUGGGUAAACUUGGUUGUAUACCAGAAGCUGAGAGACUACAUGUUCCUAAGUAGACAAGAAAGCUCCCAGUAGGAAGUGAAUCCACCCCGAACACAAUCUCCGGAUGACUGUAUGGCCUUUUCUUUUAGAGGAUUGUAGUAUUUUACGUUCUGGGGGUGCCCUUCCGCUCUGCCCUAUCAUUUUCGCAUCUUCGGUCAAAUCAAAGCUUAUCAUAGAAGCACUAGUUGUACUUUCGUAAUAGGUAGAGCGAUCAUCUGGAUGUGGAAGAUGAGUCACUAGAACUAAUUCGAGUAGAUAUCUAUUAAGGGGAUCACCGUCUCGGUGCCCUUUUCUUUUUGAGGCCCUUAUUUACAUACGAAAUCAUCCAUUUGAGCCAUCGACAGAACUACAUCUUUGUUCACAAGAACUAAGUAGAUGGGACCUUUCAGAGACCGCUCCAGUGUACAACAAAUCCUUUUAGAUCUGAUUCACUUCCCGGACUCAUACAAUUACAAUAGGGUCCUUCCUUUAUCUUUCGAAUUAUCACAACAUAGGCGGAUGCCCCAGGGUAUGCAAUCUUGCUUCCCUCUAUCGGUUGACCAGGGCCGCAAGAAAGAUGUCUACUAUGUGCCCACCAAUGCUCACUCUCCUCAACUUCGUCGAUCCUCGUACACGAACUCAUCUCUGAAUCAUUCGAAUACAAGUCUAUCAGGAUUCGCCAGAAGCACUUAAAGGAAGAGGAACCGUUUGCAUGCAGCAUCCUUUCCUUCCUCUUGAAUUAUCUUUAUUAAUUACAUUUCUGCAUGAAUCAAUCUUGAGUCUACUCGAGCCUCAAAAGCAUAUCGAUAUGAAUGACCUUUUUAUCACUCUACGAGAGAACCCUCCUUGAAACGACUUUCGUAGCAAUCGAUUUAUCUAGUGCAUGAUCAUCGCUUUAGCUAUUGAACUGGACCCUGCCUCUAAAGCUGAAUAUGAGCUUUCUUUCUAUUCGAAACUAGCUCUGGCGGCUGCCCCGAUCAGGAAGGCUCUUUCACAUCGUCUAAUCUUUGAAAAAUGUUUGGAAACAAUUCUUAGGUACCGAUUCAGGAAAGCAAAUCAAACGACUACUUACUAGCUUUUUUGUGCUCCUAGCCCUUUUAUUUUGAUCUAAAGUAUUACCUGUGGCUACCCGCAAGCUAAACAUUGAUUGUUCUAUGAGCUUCUACACUCCCAAAGACAGUAAUCGAUUAAUUUGGUAUGGAAGACGCAUUGGAUUGGUCACGCAGAGAUUCUUUCUUUUGUAGCAUUUCUUUUGGUACUCGAUGCCAUCACGCUCCUACAGAAGCUCUCCCUCGCCCCUUUGAACUGACCAACGAGACUACUAUCUCCGCCGGAAGCUAGGCGCAUUCGUCCUAUUAUUGAAAGGUAGACUGAACACUAACCAGAUUGGCAUCUUUCCCGGGAGAACUAAAGCAACCUCUAUCUAUUAACGACCACUUGGGAAUCGCUAGCUCGCAUACGUUGGUUCGCUCGUACGCCCUGCUCGAUUUACAGCUAGGGAAGUGAAAGGAGCAAGUUCUUGCUUGGCAUGUGACUUCUACGGCAAUCCCAUGUCUUCAGGCAAGGUAGCCUUAGCUAUCCCAGGUUGUGAACUGGCUCCAAUCAGUGCUAUUCUCCGAUCCAUAGUUGCAUUCUAUUUCCAUAUUUCUGAGUGAGCUGAACAGACGCUUUCUUAUCUUACGAUAAAAUGACUCUUAACUUAGCAAAAUGUAAAGCUCUUUGAAAGAAGCCGGUGAAAUUCUUUCCUUAAUGGGCGAAUUAUCUUAACGAAAGCCUUCUUUUUGACUCUCGUGUGAGGGUUGUCAUAACUUGUGUCUAUCCGCUGUUAAAUGACUUAACUUAAUAGAGUCCUAAGGGCAGUCUCAAAGAUAAGGGGUUCAAGCCGUAUUCGUUUUGAUUAGCUGUCCCAGGGAUAAGAGUAAGUAUUGGCUGUUGGCAUGUCCGAGCUAAGAUCGGUUGAGGCAAAAAGCCCUUUCCUUUCAGUCGUUCGCUAAGCCUCCUCCCUUUGUGUAGAGCUUCCCUUCUUUCGCUAACUCGCUGCUCGCCUCUGAAACUUGGGUUGGGUUCCCUGUCCUUCUUUCACUUGGGCAAGACGUUGUGACUUCACUGUGCUACUACUCUUCUAAAGCUAUAAGCAAAGCAAAAAUUAAUUACUCAACAGAAGGCACGGUACUCGGCUUCUUCUGUGCUGCACUUGGAUUCAUGUGCAGGGGAUACGAUCACAGCCUAUUCUGAUUCCUUGCAUGAAUAAGCUCUGGGACUGAUGACUUUCACUGGGAACAACUCCUGGCUCUAAAGAACCAGGAAAAGAGAGUGAUUACUAGGAGAGGCGGAAGGAAAUCGCUGUAAAGGAAAGGGACUGCGCUUUAAAGAAAAAGGUUUGCUUGAAUUAGCUCUUAACCUUGGCCUCCCCUCCCCCCUUUAUCCUGAUAGCUUUAAACGUAACUAGCUUUCUAGCUUGCUCCUUCAUUUUAAAUACUUUCAAUACUCCCGCUACAAUGUAAGGAGGUCAGACUGAUAAGGGAACUUAAACGCAA